UACGGAAGGGGCUAGCGUUGUUUCGGAAUCACUGGGCGUAAAGCGCGCGUAGGCGGCUUGGCAAGUGAGGCGUGAAAGUCCUGGGCUCAACCCCGGGGGACGGCGCUUCAGACUGCUGGGCUUGAGUCCGGAAGAGGGUGGUGGAAUUCCGAGUGUAGAGGUGAAAUUCGUAGAUAUUCGGAGGAACACCAGCGGCGAAGGCGGCACUCUGGGCUGGAAUUGACGCUGAGGAGCGAAAGUGUGGGUAGCAAACAGG
rnacentral:rRNA from 1 species